rnacentral:rRNA from 1 species
CCUACGGGUGGCAGCAGUGGGGAAUAUUGGGCAAUGGGCGCAAGCCUGACCCAGCAACGCCGCGUGAAGGAAGAAGGCCCUCGGGUUGUAAACUUCUUUUAUCAAGGACGAAACAAAUGACGGUACUUGAUGAAUAAGCCACGGCUAACUACGUGCCAGCAGCCGCGGUAAUACGGAGGAUGCGAGCGUUAUCCGGAUUUAUUGGGUUUAAAGGGUGCGUAGGCGGAAUAUCAAGUCAGCGGUAAAAAUUCGGGGCUCAACCCCGUCGUGCCGUUGAAACUGAUGUUCUUGAGUGGGCGAGAAGUAUGCGGAAUGCGUGGUGUAGCGGUGAAAUGCAUAGAUAUCACGCAGAACUCCGAUUGCGAAGGCAGCAUACCGGCGCCCAACUGACGCUGAAGCACGAAAGCGUGGGUAUCGAACAUGAUUAGAUACCCCUGUAGUC